GUUUUUCUUAAACCAGCUGCUGACAGGAUCUGAAGCAUCUCCACAAACCUCCAGCCGUGAUCCAGGUGUCCCCACAGUGGCCCGAAUGGGCCCUAGAGGCAAGAAGAUUAUUUAAACGCGCCGUGUUCCCGCUGGUCCUUCCCACGUGGUCAACCCUUAAAGGCUGCAGAUGCUCCUCCACCUUCGCUGGCUGUCCCAUCUGCCAGGAACUGAAGAUCACACCCUCCACCAAACCUCCCACCCCGGGACCCCCUCCUUGGAUGGAGGCAGAGGAAGCUGCCCCGAGGAUUCCCCCAUUGUCUUCCUCGCUCCCGGGGAGACCCCAUGACACAGCUGGGGCUGUGACCGCGUGAGGGAGGAAUCUCGGAUGGGAUGUGAGGAGCGGGAAGGACCCGCGGCGCAGUUUGGUUUGGCAGCCCCUUACGGACAAUAAAAGGUCAGGCUGCAGAGGAGCUUGUUUGGUU
rnacentral:lncRNA from 1 species